UGCUGGAGCCGCCGCGGGUAGAGAUGGAGCCGCUCCUGCCCGCAGCUGGGGCCACCGCAGGUCGCGCCGCCGCUGUAGGUCGCACCGGAGCUUCCCCACAGCUGGACCCACCGUAGGUCGUGUCGGAGCCAGCCCACCGCUAGAGCCACCACUGGAACCGCCGCAGGUCACAUCGGAGCCACCCGCCGCUGGAACCGCCGCAGGUCGCGCUGGAGCCGCCCGCCGCGGGAGCCGCGAGCCGCUGGUCACCGUUGACCUUUUCCACACCUCCACGAGCAAGCGACCCACACGCACACCACUCUCCGCUGCACCAGUGAGGAAGUGAUGGUGCAUGAGGACGAGCUUCCUGGACAAGAAGAUCUCCAUACUCUUCUCGGUGAUGCAAAGUUGAGGUUUGGAUUUUGGCAUCCGCUCUACUGUCGUGCUGCAACUCUUUGUCGAACGAAACUUAAUUGUUUGUUUUUAUUAUAGCUUAGAUCAGUCUGUUUUAGACUUUUAGUGCUUAUCUUUCAUUCAGGGCUUCAAACCGCACUCGAUUGCAAAACAAAAUUCAGACAACCGAUUGCUGAAUCCUAGACUUUCUCAUAGUUAUAAGACAUGCAACCAUCGAACCUUUUGGUUGCACUCUCAACUGAUAUAUGAGAUCGAUCAUCUCAUCCUACCUGUUCGGAAAUUCGGAUUCCCGAGUUCCUUUUUUGAUUCUGUUGAUUGUAAUGUUAAAUAUGGCUCCUAAUUGGAUACAUACUUGUCUAAAUGAUUGGUGCAGCUGCAGAUCAUCUAUAUUGAUUCUGGAGACCGAUUCUUGGUGCUGCUGCAGAUCGUCUACAUUGAUUCUGGACGUCGAUUCUUCAUUUACCCUUCUUAUUACCAUUUGCUAACUUAACCACCUCUCUCUCUCUCUCAUGUUGGUUCUGAAGAUCUUUUAUGUGUCAUGUCGACAAAGGUGUUUGAUAAGAGAUCCAAGCAGGCUGCAUGUGAGGUGAAUCAAGGAAGUUGGUAGAAUAUGCAGCCUUGAUAGCAGAGGUUUGUGAAUUUUAUGCCAGGUUUGUUUCCUCCAUGUUAAACACCGAAGAAAUGGGGUAUUAGAUCAGCAAGGCAAGAAUAGCUUUAUUGUUUCUCUGUUCUUUCCUUAUUCUCACACAACAGAAAAACUAAAUUUAUUGCUUUUGCACUUUAUGUUUCUUAAUGUUGUCAGACUAAUACAGAAGAACAAAAAACUAACUGUUGAUGUUUUGUCUGUCCAGCUAGCCGGCAAGUCAGAUAAAAGUGUCAUCUGAUACGAGAAAGUACUACUGUUUUCAUUUAUAAAAGAUACAUAAGUGUUAACUUGGCAAGUCUGUUAGUUGAUAACCUUACCUGAUGUUAAGAGGGUGAGUGGUUAGUGUAAAAUAACUUUGAGAUCACCUCCUUUUGCAGUUCUGACCAAUUUUUUCUUCACAUCAUUUUGAAAUUCUUAGUUUGUUUUUUGAGUUAUCCAUAUUGUACCCAUGUCAUGCUGAAUGAACGUGCAUGCUGUGAGAGAGAUAGAUGGAAACUGUAAUUCUUCAGUGUCAUUGUACAUUAUGUAGAGUUAUAUUUUGAAAAUCACUGUUCCGAUGUCUCAUCAAGGUUGAGGCUCAUAUUGUUUAAGAAUUUUGCUCACCAAUUCACCAUUGUUUUUGGCUCACCCAAUUUAUGUAAGCAUGUACAGAAUUAGACCGAGAAACACAAACCAGAUAUAUUGGUUCACUAAACUCAUAGUUAUCACGGAGAAAUAACAUAAACUCUUUUGUUUCAAGCAUUUUUUCUUAUUAAGUUUCGUAUAUCUGAUCUACUUCACACAUU